CAUAGUAAAUCCUGCCUAUGUUUUUUUCCACCACGCCUUUUCCUCCAUUCUUUCUCUUGUGCAUGCCAAGUCCAUUUGGUUGGAAACUGUGCAUACGUCAAACUGCGAGCUUCUUCAUGCAACUGGUUGGCUGUCAUCCAUUCUGUGAACAUUGUCUUUUCUAUGUUAGGCCGGGAUACAAUUUGAUCUAAAUCCAUUGAGUCCGGGAACACCACAACAUGUUCAUUUUCUAGGUGAAAUUGUAACCUUUCAACCGCAGGCUCUCUGUACUGAAGAGGAAACUGAAAUAUGCGUCAUGCGGCUUCACAUCCAGAUAUGUACCGGGCAUCAAGGUACCUCUUGAUUUCGUCGUCCUUGUUUGUUAAUUUGCUAGCUCUUGUUUCACUUUGUUGGUCUUCCGCUUCUAUCAAGACGGUUGUUCGAUCUUCUCCUUUAUGGAUGUAUUUGAAUAAAUACUUUAUAGACCUUGAUCUGUUGCACCACUCAACAUUUAUGUGGGCUUGAUACUUGACCAGUAGGUUUCUAUUGUAUGGCACAACAAAUCUAUUGUCUAGCUUCACUCCAUUCUUGUCCACAGUGUUGCCAUCAUCUCGCCUUCUAUAUACUGGAUAGUUAUCUUCAUCUAUGGUAGUCUCAGUGCAAAAAUUCUUGGGGAAAUGUUUGGCACAACUUUUAUCGACCAUGCAUGGUGAUUUUGGGUGUGCUUGACCACAUGGACCAUGUAUCAUGUAAUUUUGCACUGCUUCGUACCCUUCUGGAUCACUAUUCUUAUCAGGAAUUUCGGCUGAUAUGAUUUUGUCGAUCUGGGAAGGACUUGGAUCUUUAUCAUCUGGGUGUAGAAACACCAGUAUGUGUGCAUGCGGGGGGCCUCUUUUCUGGAACUCUAUAGUGUAGACAACUUUAUGAAAGUAAACAAAUUUGAGAAGAAAUGAGUUAGGACAAUCAUCUAGGAAAGAGUGAAUAUGUACUUAUUAGGUAAACUUACUUGCAAUUGUUUGUCCAAAACACUUUCCGUUCUUUAUGUCAUUCAUAAGUUCCUUCAGUUUUAACAUGAAUACUCUGGCAACGAUAUCUGGACGAUCUUCAGAUUUCUGGCCUGGAAUCAGAUCCAACAUAUCUUGUAUUUCCAGCCAUUUUGGAUUGCAUGUAGAAGUAAUGAAGAGAUCAGGAUAGCCAGCCCAAGGACAAAUCGCCAUGGCAUCUUGGUAGUUUUGCCGCUUAUUUCUUGGACUGCCAUUAUAUGAUGAGGGUAGUAUGAUUCUUUGUCCAACUUGUUCGGCUCGUGUAUCUCCAUUUUCUAUUGCAUCAUGCAGUCCUCUGUACAGUUCUGUCCUCAACUUACCUUGGUUUGUCCUGUACCAAUUUAGUCUCCACUGUUCAAUGCACGUUGCUGCAUCAACUAAAAACUGCAGGAACAAACGUCCACUCAUUUGCAAUGUUGAAGCUUGGUUCAGACGUUGUUGUAUGCGAUACGCAUAAAACUCCAGCAUUGUUACAUACUUUCUUUUACCUUUGCUGCCUCUUUUAUUUUCAUACUCUAUUUCUGGUCUGAAACCAUCUUCUCCAUAUGGAAAAAGCAAGGGGUACUGCAUUGACAUAUAGCUUGGGUGCAACUCUGAAAUCCUCUGUAACAUUCUGUCUUUGGUCUCAACUAUUAUAUCAAAUUCAUUAUUUUCUCCACCUUGUUCCCCAAUAAUUAGUGCUGCGACUUCUGAGGCAGAUGGUAGGUUGUAUUGUCGUCCAUCUUUCGACCUUAGUCUUACAUCUUUAAUACGUCGGUUUUGGAAUCUGUCCCUUGCCAUACGAAAUGAUUUGACUAAAACAUUGUGCUCAUCAAGCAUCUCCAGUAGUCCUUUGACAAUGUUUUCAUCUGGUUGUGUCUUACUCUCCGUUGAAGCAGAUGCAUUAAUCCUAUUCCGCACUUCAUUUUCUGUGUCAUGUAUGUACAAUUGGGCAAAUUUUGGUUUCGUCACAUCAUCCUUAGGAAGUAAAGUGCCAAUCUGAUGGUAAUUAUGGCCAUUCAAACGGAAAACAUAUGGUCCAGAUGCCUGCUUAUUAAUUUCAUAGUCAACCUUUUCUCCCAUUGAAGUGAAUGCGAACAUCGAGGUGUACAACCUGAUGUUCUGGCGGAAAUUUGAUGAUUCUCCUCUUUCAUUGUAACGUAGUAGCUGUCGGAGAUACAGCGGAGCUUGCUUCAGUGGUGGUAAUUUAACUUUCCCUUCCUUGCAGCAGAGACCAAAUUUUGGAACUGUGAUGUUACCUGUGC
rnacentral:lncRNA from 1 species